CCAUAGCCCUCAGACAAACCAGUCUGCUUAUUGCGAAUAACCUUAAUGGAAGCAAUCUCGCCGGCGGAAGCAAAACAUGUAUGGAGAUAAUUUUCGUCCAUCCAGUGAUGCAAAUCACCGAUCCAAAUAGUUUUAUUCUCACCGCUAGAUCCCUGAUUUUGAUGAUGUUGCUGCAGCGGUUGUUGUAGGUGCGGAUGGUGCUGGUGGUAUUGAUGGUACGCAGCCAUGUAGUGCUGCGGCGG
rnacentral:misc_RNA from 1 species